rnacentral:rRNA from 1 species
CCUGGUGGUGAUGGCGGUGGGGCAACACCUCUUUCCAUUCCGAACAGAGUCGUUAAGUCCACCUGCGCCGAAAAUACUUGGCAGAAUGCCUGGGAAGAUAGGUCGCCGCCGGGA